UACGUAGGGUGCAAGCGUUGUCCGGAAUUAUUGGGCGUAAAGAGCUCGUAGGUGGCCUGUCGCGUCGGCUGUGAAAACCCGCGGCUCAACCGUGUGGUCUGCAGUCGAUACGGGCAGGCUAGAGUUCGGUAGGGGAGACUGGAAUUCCUGGUGUAGCGGUGAAAUGCGCAGAUAUCAGGAGGAACACCGGUGGCGAAGGCGGGUCUCUGGGCCGAUACUGACGCUGAGGAGCGAAAGCGUGGGGAGCGAACAGG
rnacentral:rRNA from 1 species